rnacentral:rRNA from 1 species
GAUGAACGCUGGCGGUAUGCCUAACACAUGCAAGUCGAACGGUAGAGGGGGCAACCCCUUGAGAGUGGCGAACGGGUGAGUAAUAUAUCGGAACGUGCCCAGUCGUGGGGGAUAACGUAGCGAAAGUUACGCUAAUACCGCAUACGAUCUAAGGAUGAAAGCGGGGGACUCGCAAGAGCCUCGCGCGAUUGGAGCGGCCGAUAUCAGAUUAGGUAGUUGGUGGGGUAAAGGCUCACCAAGCCAACGAUCUGUAGCUGGUCUGAGAGGACGACCAGCCACACUGGAACUGAGACACGGUCCAGACUCCUACGGGAGGCAGCAGUGGGGAAUUUUGGACAAUGGACGCAAGUCUGAUCCAGCCAUUCCGCGUGCAGGAUGAAGGCCCUCGGGUUGUAAACUGCUUUUGUACGGAACGAAAAGGUUUCUAUUAAUACUAGGAGCUCAUGACGGUACCGUAAGAAUAAGCACCGGCUAACUACGUG